rnacentral:lncRNA from 1 species
AAGGUUAUCUUCAGCAUGGCAUUAAAUGACUUCAGGGCUUACCAAGGGUCAGUGGAUGAUAUCCUUUUUGGCACUUGCCUCUUGUUUUGGGAACAUGGUGUAAUUUUAAUUGGUGCAGGAUGUCUUCCCCUGCCUUUCUUCCUUUGGGAGGAUGGGCUCAGCAGUUUUUAGAAAGGGAACUGUGCAAUAAGAGUAUCUAUCUUGUUAGUGAGGGGC